UACGAAGGGGGCUAGCGUUGUUCGGAAUUACUGGGCGUAAAGCGCGCGUAGGCGGUUUUGCAAGCCAGAGGUGAAAUGCCUGAGCUCAACUUAGGAAUUGCCUUUGGGACUGCGAGGCUUUGAGGACUGGAGAGGUGAGUGGAAUUCCCAGUGUAGAGGUGAAAGUUCGUAGAUAUUGGGAAGAACACCGGUGGCGAAGGCGGCUCACUGGCCAGUUCUGACGCUGCAGCGCGAAAGCG
rnacentral:rRNA from 1 species